CUUCGGAUGUGUAUAAAGUGGCGAACGGGUGAGUAGCACGGUGGGCAACCUGCCCUUUGCACUGGGAUAGCCUCGGGAAACCGAGGUUAAUACCGGAUACUCCAUAUUUGUCGCAUGGCGAAUAUGGGAAAGCUCCGGCGGCAAAGGAUGGGCCCGCGGCCUGUUAGCUAGUUGGUGGGGUAGUGGCCUACCAAGGCAAUGAUGGGUAGCCGGGUUGAGAGACCGACCGGCCAGAUUGGGACUGAGACACGGCCCAGACUCCUACGGGAGGCAGCAGUGGGGAAUCUUGCACAAUGGGCGAAAGCCUGAUGCAGCGACGCCGCGUGCGGGAUGAAGGCCUUCGGGUUGUAAACCGCUUUCAGCAGGGACGAGGCCGCAAGGUGACGGUACCUGCAGAAGAAGCCCCGGCUAACUACGUGCCAGCAGCCGCGGUAAUACGUAGGGGGCAAGCGUUAUCCGGAUUCAUUGGGCGUAAAGCGCACGUAGGCGGUCUGUUAGGUCAGGAGUUAAAUCUGGGGGCUCAACCCCUAUCCGCUCCUGAUACCGGCAGGCUUGAGUCUGGUAGGGGAAGAUGGAAUUCCAAGUGUAGCGGUGAAAUGCGCAGAUAUUUGGAAGAACACCGGUGGCGAAGGCGGUCUUCUGGGCCAUGACUGACGCUGAGGCGCGAAAGCUAGGGGAGCGAACAGGAUUAGAUACCCUGGUAGUCCUAGCUGUAAACGAUGGACACUAGGUGUGGGGAGAUUAUACUUUCCGUGCCGCAGCUAACGCAUUAAGUGUCCCGCCUGGGGAGUA
rnacentral:rRNA from 1 species